rnacentral:lncRNA from 1 species
GACUACAACAGUCCAACUCCAUUAGGCUCUAGUAAGGUCCAUGUAACGAGCUUUGGGUCAAUGACUCUUGAUCCAGUUGGCUCAAGGCAUUAGGUGAAACACCCCUCGGACUUAAUUACUCGAACCAGACUACGCCACGAGGCCAGACUAAUCACUUAUUUCAGUUAUUUUCACCUUUUUACGCGAACACUCGCUGCUUUG